rnacentral:rRNA from 2 species
GUCGAACGAACUCUGGUAUUGAUUGGUGCUUGCAUCAUGAUUUACAUUUGCCUGAGUGGCGAACUGGUGAGUAACACGUGGGAAACCUGCCCAGAAGCGGGGGAUAACACCUGGAAACAGAUGCUAAUACCGCAUAACAACUUGGACCGCAUGGUCCGAGCUUGAAAGAUGGCUUCGGCUAUCACUUUUGGAUGGUCCCGCGGCGUAUUAGCUAGAUGGUGGGGUAACGGCUCACCAUGGCAAUGAUACGUAGCCGACCUGAGAGGGUAAUCGGCCACAUUGGGACUGAGACACGGCCCAAACUCCUACGGGAGGCAGCAGUAGGGAAUCUUCCACAAUGGACGAAAGUCUGAUGGAGCAACGCCGCGUGAGUGAAGAAGGGUUUCGGCUCGUAAAACUCUGUUGUUAAAGAAGAACAUAUCUGAGAGUAACUGUUCAGGUAUUGACGGUAUUUAACCAGAAAGCCACGGCUAACUACGUGCCAGCAGCCGCGGUAAUACGUAGGUGGCAAGCGUUGUCCGGAUUUAUUGGGCGUAAAGCGAGCGCAGGCGGUUUUUUAAGUCUGAUGUGAAAGCCUUCGGCUCAACCGAAGAAGUGCAUCGGAAACUGGGAAACUUGAGUGCAGAAGAGGACAGUGGAACUCCAUGUGUAGCGGUGAAAUGCGUAGAUAUAUGGAAGAACACCAGUGGCGAAGGCGGCUGUCUGGUCUGUAACUGACGCUGAGGCUCGAAAGUAUGGGUAGCAAACAGGAUUAGAUACCCUGGUAGUCCAUACCGUAAACGAUGAAUGCUAAGUGUUGGAGGGUUUCCGCCCUUCAGUGCUGCAGCUAACGCAUUAAGCAUUCCGCCUGGGGAGUACGGCCGCAAGGCUGAAACUCAAAGGAAUUGACGGGGGCCCGCACAAGCGGUGGAGCAUGUGGUUUAAUUCGAAGCUACGCGAAGAACCUUACCAGGUCUUGACAUACUAUGCAAAUCUAAGAGAUUAGACGUUCCCUUCGGGGACAUGGAUACAGGUGGUGCAUGGUUGUCGUCAGCUCGUGUCGUGAGAUGUUGGGUUAAGUCCCGCAACGAGCGCAACCCUUAUUAUCAGUUGCCAGCAUUAAGUUGGGCACUCUGGUGAGACUGCCGGUGACAAACCGGAGGAAGGUGGGGAUGACGUCAAAUCAUCAUGCCCCUUAUGACCUGGGCUACACACGUGCUACAAUGGAUGGUACAACGAGUUGCGAACUCGCGAGAGUAAGCUAAUCUCUUAAAGCCAUUCUCAGUUCGGAUUGUAGGCUGCAACUCGCCUACAUGAAGUCGGAAUCGCUAGUAAUCGCGGAUCAGCAUGCCGCGGUGAAUACGUUCCCGGGCCUUGUACACACCGCCCGUCACACCAUGAGAGUUUGUAACACCCAAAGUCGGUGGGGUAACCUUUUAGGA